rnacentral:misc_RNA from 1 species
AAGGAAACAAUUUUCAUCUUCAGUUUUGAGAGACUUAAGAAAGUUUUUCAUUGUAACUUGCUUGCAAAUUGUAUUUGCAACAUUUUAAUCUUUUUAAGAUUAAGGGCCUAUAGCUCAGUUGGUUAGAGCACACGCCUGAUAAGCGUGAGGUCGGUGGUUCAAGUCCAUUUAGGCCCACCAUAACCACAAAUAGGCAAAAUCUUAAAAAAGCUCUUUGAAA